CUUCCCGGCGCUAUCGCGAGAACUCCGCGCAGCCCAGUGGCCGGUGGUGGACGCGCUCCCGGAGAUGUCGCGAGACUUCGGGGCGCCGGGCCCGCGCGGAGUCUCCGGCGGUACCGCGAGGUUUCCCCUCCCCCCGCUCCCGCCCGGCUCUGCUCGGGAGGAGAGCGGCGGCGAAUUCUCGCGAGAUCACGACCCCCCUCCCCACACACAACACACAGCCUGCGCCCCGCCGUCCUUUUGUUCGCCGCUCUCGCGAGAGCGCCCCGCGCGCGCGGCCGAGACGCCGCUAGAAGGAGGCGGGCCCUGGGUCACGUGGGCGGGCGCCGCCGCCAUCUUGUCGCUCCCCCCUCAGCGGGCAGUGGCGCAGCGCGUAAUGGCGGCGCGGCGGGAGGAGGGGCUGCUGCGCCCAGAACGCACCGGCCUGCCUCCCCCGCCUGCCCUUAGAGCAGGCCCGGACACGCCAGCCUGCGGCUCUGUAGGGCUCAGACCAUUCCUUGUGCUUGCUGCCCUGUGAGCCGCUCCCCCCAGCACUCUGCUGGUGGGUUCCAGUAGUCAUGUCACAUCUUCAUCAGCUCUUUCUCCAAGCCCCUUAGCCAUCAAACGUACUGACGUGCCAAAGGACUGCCCGUAUUUUCCCUGUAGCGCCAGUUUUGCCGGCUAUCUCUACAUCCCCACCUUGGAUUAGAUCUUUUAGACUGUAAGCAUCAGUCAAACAGCAAGCCCAAAGAAGAGAAGAUGAAGACAAAAGAAGAGAGACUCAUAGCAGCAAGAAGAAAGGAAAGAAACACAUCAGUAAAUCUUGGAUUCACAUUCUCAUUGUGAACUGGUUUGAACUAGUAAGCUCAUAAUUGCCUAAAUCAAAAUAGGCACCCAGUCAAGAUGGCUCCUACAUUAAUCAGCAUCAGUUAUACUUGAAGGAGGCACUAAUGUUUCUCAUUUCAGUUUCUGUAAGCCUUUUCUAAUUACCAUUUCUAAAUACCAAGUGCAACUUCUAUGUUAUGUAACAUAUAUGUAACAUUAGAGUCUUCUUUGAAAGCCUUUCAGAGCCUUACUGAACAAGUACCACUUGCCAGCCCUCUCCCCUCUGGUGUGCAGGGGUUUGACUUCAGCUGCCAGCUGUGAGCACCUGGCAAGGUCUGACCUUUGCAGAUGGUGGUUGUGCAAUGUGGUGCAGCUGCCAGGAGUGCUUGGGUUGAGAGAGUGGCCUCAGCCAUCUGAGGAAUGCCCAGUGUUGCUCCUUAUUAAGUGAGAGGGUGACUCUGAUAGCUUAGAAAUGCCUGUGGGAUUGUCAGGGUCCUGAGGACACUCCCAGCUCCCCACAGCCCUGCCAGGAAUUGAAAGGAUGAACCAUGAAGACCAUGAAACAAACCCAACACUGGUCUUUGGGAGAAAGGGGAAAGAAGGUCCCUCUUCCUAUUUUCCUGGCUGUUGCUGCGGUGUUGGUUCUGUCACUUGGCAGGGGAAGGAUCACUAGCAAGGGAAUGGGGGUAGUGUAGGGACUUGUAAUACAAAGGUUGGUGGCCUGAGUUAAUGUCACCAGGUUAGCAGGUCAUCAAGACCACAGGGCAUUGACCUGCUGUCUCUCAGGGCAUUCGGAUAUGGAAAAAGCGUGAUUAGUCCUGAUGACUGCCAGAGCUGAGACAGGUGGAGAUACUGACAGUUCCAAACAGCUACAAAAAGAUACCCAAACCCUGUGCAUAGUCACCAAUCCAGGAAUAACCCAGGACUUCAGAGCUGGAAUCCCUUGUGUUCUCUAUGGCAUCACACAGAUCCUGGAUCCAUUACGCGGAUACAAACUUCAUAUUGCCUGGAUUUUUGGUUAAAUGGCUUAAACAUGCUGGCCUGGUGCCUGGUGGCUGCUCUUGUGAGUGUGAGAAUAGAAAUGUGGCUGA